rnacentral:tRNA from 1 species
GCCCCACUGGCCUAAUGGUUAAGGCGUAUGACUUCUAAUCAUAAGAUUGGGGGUUCGAGUCCCCCGUGGGGUU